rnacentral:rRNA from 1 species
AAGUCGUAACAAGGUUUCCGUAGGUGAACCUGCGGAAGGAUCAUUAUCGAAUUAUAAGCGAGGGUUGUCGCUGGCCUUUCGAGGCAUGUGCACGCCCGAGCUCUUUAAUCCAAACUUUACACCUGUGAACUCUCUGUAGGGCGCUUCCCAGGAGCGUCCUAUGUUUUUAUUCAUAAACUACGUAUGUCAACAGAAUGUCAAUCAAUAUCUUCGCCUUAAAAAAAGCGUCGGUAAACUUAUACAACUUUCAACAACGGAUCUCUUGGUUCUCGCAUCGAUGAAGAACGCAGCGAAAUGCGAUAAGUAAUGUGAAUUGCAGAUUUUCAGUGAAUCAUCGAAUCUUUGAACGCACCUUGCGCUCCUUGGUAUUCCGAGGAGCAUGCCUGUUUGAGUAUCAUUAAAUUCUCAACCCACCUCUUUGAUUAGAGCGGGCUUGGACUUGGAGUCGUGCUGGCCCUCACCCGGGUCGGCUCCACUUAAAUGCAACAGCGGAAUCUUAAAACCAUUGGGUUUCGUCAUCAGUGUGAUAAUCAUGUCUCGCUGUUGACCGCCCUCCGGGUCCGCUUACAAUCGUCUUCGGACAAGCUUUAUAACAAUUUGAUCUCAAAUCAGGUAGGACUACCCGCUGAACUUAA